rnacentral:rRNA from 1 species
CAGCAGUGGGGAAUAUUGCACAAUGGGCGCAAGCCUGAUGCAGCCAUGCCGCGUGUAUGAAGAAGGCCUUCGGGUUGUAAAGUACUUUCAGCAGUGAGGAAGGUGGGUAUGUUAAUAGCAUAUUCAUUUGACGUUAGCUGCAGAAGAAGCACCGGCUAACUCCGUGCCAGCAGCCGCGGUAAUACGGAGGGUGCGAGCGUUAAUCGGAAUUACUGGGCGUAAAAGCGCAUGCAGGUGGUUUGUUAAGUCAGAUGUGAAAGCCCGGGGCUCAACCUCGGAAUUGCAUUUGAAACUGGCAAACUAGAGUACUGUAGAGGGGGUAGAAUUUCAGGUGUAGCGGUGAAAUGCGUAGAGAUCUGAAGGAAUACCGGUGGCGAAGGCGGCCCCCUGGACAGAUACUGACACUCAGAUGCGAAAGACGUGGGGAGCAAACAGGAUUAGAUACCCUGGUAG